UGGGGAAUAUUGCACAAUGGGGGGAACCCUGAUGCAGCGACGCCGCGUGAGCGAGGAAGUAUUUCGGUAUGUAAAGCUCUAUCAGCAGGGACGAAGAAAGACGGUACCUGAGUAAGAAGCCCCGGCUAACUACGUGCCAGCAGCCGCGGUAAUACGUAGGGGGCAAGCGUUAUCCGGAUUUACUGGGUGUAAAGGGAGCGUAGACGGCAAGGCAAGCCAGAAGUGAAAGGGCAGGGCUCAACCCUGUACAUGCUUUUGGAACUGUGGUGCUAGAGUGCAGGAGAGGUAAGUGGAAUUCCUAGUGUAGCGGUGAAAUGCGUAGAUAUUAGGAGGAACACCAGUGGCGAAGGCGGCUUACUGGACUGUAACUGACGUUGAGGCUCGAAAGCGUGGGGAGCAAACAGG
rnacentral:rRNA from 1 species